ACGGAGGGGGCGAGCGUUAUUCGGAAUUAUUGGGCGUAAAGGGCGCGUAGGCGGCCUUGUAAGUCAAAGGUGAAAUCCCUCGGCUCAACUGAGGAACUGCCUUUGAAACUGCAAGGCUUGAGGCCGGGAGGGGGUAGCGGAAUUCCCAAUGUAGCGGUGAAAUGCGUAGAUAUUGGGAGGAACACCAGUGGCGAAGGCGGCUACCUGGACCGGUUCUGACGCUGAGGCGCGAAAGCGUGGGUAGCAAACAGGA
rnacentral:rRNA from 1 species